rnacentral:piRNA from 7 species
UCAGUCGGUAGAGCAUGAGACUCUUAAU